rnacentral:rRNA from 1 species
UAUAAAAGCUUUAUGCACCAUUGGAUGAGCCCGCACUUGAUUAGUUUGUUGGUGGGGUAAUGGCCUACCAAGACUGUGAUCAAUAGCUGAUUUGAGAGGAUGAUCAGCCACAUUGGGACUGAGACACGGCCCAAACUCCUACGGGAGGCAGCAGUGGGGAAUCUUGCACAAUGGAGGAAACUCUGAUGCAGCGAUGCCGCGUGAGUGAAGAAGGCCCUUGGGUUGUAAAGCUCUUUCGUCGGGGAAGAAAAUGACUGUACCCGAAUAAGAAGGUCCGGCUAACUUCGUGCCAGCAGCCGCGGUAAUACGAAGGGACCUAGCGUAGUUCGGAAUUACUGGGCUUAAAGAGUUCGUAGGUGGUUGAAAAAGUUGGUGGUGAAAUCCCAGAGCUUAACUCUGGAACUGCCAUCAAAACUUUUCAGCUAGAGUAUGAUAGAGGAAAGCAGAAUUUCUAGUGUAGAGGUGAAAUUCGUAGAUAUUAGAAAGAAUACCAAUUGCGAAGGCAGCUUUCUGGAUCAUUACUGACACUGAGGAACGAAAGCAUGGGUAGCGAAGAGGAUUAGAUACCCUCGUAGUCCAUGCCGUAAACGAUGUGUGUUAGACGUUGGAAAUUUAUUUUCAGUGUCGCAGCGAAAGCGAUAAACACACCGCCUGGGGAGUACGACCGC